CUAACACAUGCAAGUCGAACGAGAAAGCGGAGCAAUCCGCAAGUAAAGUGGCGCACGGGUGAGUAACACGUGACUAACCUACCCUGGAGUGGGGGAUAACUGAGGGAAACCUUAGCUAAUACCGCAUAACACCUACGGGUCAAAGGAGCAAUUCGCUUAAGGAGGGGGUCGCGGCCGAUUAGUUAGUUGGCGGGGUAAUGGCCCACCAAGACUGUGAUCGGUAUCCGGCCUGAGAGGGCGCACGGACACACUGGAACUGAAACACGGUCCAGACUCCUACGGGAGGCAGCAGUGGGGAAUUUUGCGCAAUGGGGGAAACCCUGACGCAGCAACGCCGCGUGGAGGAUGAAGCCCCUUGGGGCGUAAACUCCUUUCGAUCGGGACGAUAAUGACGGUACCGGAAGAAGAAGCCCCGGCUAACUUCGUGCCAGCAGCCGCGGUAAU
rnacentral:rRNA from 1 species